rnacentral:rRNA from 1 species
CCUACGGGUGGCAGCAGUCGAGAAUCAUUGACAAUGGGCGAAACCCUGAUGGUGCGACGCCGCGUGAAGGAAUGAAGGUCUUCGGAUUGUAAACCCCUGUCAUGUGGGAGCAAAUUAAAAAGUUAGUACCACAAGAGGAAGAGACGGCUAACUCGGGGCCAGCAGCCGCGUGAAUACAGAGGUCUCAAGCGUUGUACGGAAUUAAUGGGCGUAAAGCGUGGGUAGGCUGGUUCGUAAGUCAGGUGUGAACGUCGGGGGCUCAACCCGCGGACUGCAAAUGAUACUGCAAGACUUGAGUACUGGAGGGGCAGACGGAAUUCGUGGUGUAGCAGUGAAAUGCGUAGAUAUCAGGAGGAACACCAGUGGCGAAGGCGGGUUCCUGGACAGUAACUGACGCUGAGGCACGAAGGCGAGGGGAGCGAAAGGGAUUAGAUACCCCUGUAGUC